ACUUAAAUAGCUUAUAUUUAGAGCAUAAUUUUGAAGAAAUUAAGGUAAUAGUAAUUUUUUAAGUA
rnacentral:tRNA from 1 species